rfam:Kluyvera intestini strain GT-16 tig00000000, whole genome shotgun sequence.
AUCCUCCCCAUGCCGGGAAGGGUGAGAAGCUUCGACUAAGGUUCGAUUCGAGCGCAGCGAGAAAGCGUUACCGCAGGCAACGACCCGAAGGGCGAGGAGCAGCGACGAGUAAUCCUUCCCCACCACCA